rnacentral:rRNA from 1 species
AGAGUUUGAUCCUGGCUCAGGACGAACGCUGGCGGCGUGCUUAACACAUGCAAGUCGAACGGAAAGGCCCAGCUUGCUGGGUGCUCGAGUGGCGAACGGGUGAGUAACACGUGGGUGAUCUGCCCCUGACUUCGGGAUAAGCUUGGGAAACUGGGUCUAAUACCGGAUAGGACAAUCGUUUAGUGUCGGUUGUGGAAAGUUUUUUCGGUUAGGGAUGAGCCCGCGGCCUAUCAGCUUGUUGGUGGGGUAAUGGCCUACCAAGGCGUCGACGGGUAGCCGGCCUGAGAGGGUGGACGGCCACAUUGGGACUGAGAUACGGCCCAGACUCCUACGGGAGGCAGCAGUGGGGAAUAUUGCACAAUGGGCGCAAGCCUGAUGCAGCGACGCCGCGUGGGGGAUGACGGCCUUCGGGUUGUAAACCUCUUUCGACAGGGACGAAGCUUUUGUGACGGUACCUGUAUAAGAAGCACCGGCUAACUACGUGCCAGCAGCCGCGGUAAUACGUAGGGUGCGAGCGUUGUCCGGAAUUACUGGGCGUAAAGAGCUCGUAGGUGGUUUGUCGCGUCGUCUGUGAAAUUCCGGGGCUUAACUUCGGGCGUGCAGGCGAUACGGGCAUAACUUGAGUGCUGUAGGGGAGACUGGAAUUCCUGGUGUACCGGUGGAAUGCGCAGAUAUCAGGAGGAACACCGAUGGCGAAGGCAGGUCUCUGGGCAGUAACUGACGCUGAGGAACGAAAGCAGGGGGAGCGAACAGGAUUAAAUACCCUGGUAGUC